UCAGUGAAUCAUCGAAUCUUUGAACGCACAUUGCGCCCGCCGGUAUUCUGGCGGGCAUGCCUGUCCGAGCGUCAU
rnacentral:rRNA from 1 species